GAUGAACGCUAGCUACAGGCUUAACACAUGCAAGUCGAGGGGAAACGACAUCGAAAGCUUGCUUUUGAUGGGCGUCGACCGGCGCACGGGUGAGUAACGCGUAUCCAACCUGCCCAUCACUUGGGGAUAACCUUGCGAAAGUAAGACUAAUACCCAAUGAUAUCUCUAGAAGACAUCUGAAAGAGAUUAAAGAUUUAUCGGUGAUGGAUGGGGAUGCGUCUGAUUAGCUUGUUGGCGGGGUAACGGCCCACCAAGGCAACGAUCAGUAGGGGUUCUGAGAGGAAGGUCCCCCAGAAUGGAACUGAGACACGGACCAAACUCCUACGGGAGGAAGCAGUGAGGAAUAUUGGUCAAUGAGCGAGAGCCUGAACCAGCCAAGUAGCGUACAGGAAGACGGCCCUAUGGAUUGUAAACUGCCUUUGAAAGAGAAUAAAGUGAGAGACGUGACUCUUUUUGUAUGUACCUUAUGAAUAAGGACCGGCUAAUUCCGUG
rnacentral:rRNA from 1 species